AGAAUAAUUCACAAUGGACGAAAGUCUGCUGGUGCAACGCCGCGUGGAGGAUGAAGGUCUUCGGAUUGUAAACUCCUGUCAUCGGGGAGUAAGACCUGACGGUAAAUAGCCGGCCGGGUUGAUAGUACCCGAAGAGGAAGGGACGGCUAACUUCGUGCCAGCAGCCGCGGUAAUACGAAGGUCCCAAGCGUUGUUCGGAAUCACUGGGCGUAAAGGGAGCGUAGGCGGCGCGGUAAGUCAGAUGUGAAAUCCCGGGGCUCAACCCCGGAACUGCAUCCGAUACUGCCGGGCUUGAGGGUUGGAGAGGUAGCUGGAAUUCUCGGUGUAGCAGUGAAAUGCGUGGAUAUCGAGAGGAACACUCGUGGCGAAGGCGAGCUACUGGACAACAUCUGACGCUGAGGCUCGAAGGCCAGGGGAGCAAAA
rnacentral:rRNA from 1 species